rnacentral:tRNA from 1 species
GGAGGUGUAGCUCAGUGGUAGAACACCUGCCUACUAUGCAUGAGGCCCUGCGUUCGAUUCCUAGCACCAUUU